GCCAGCAUGGUGUAGUGGUUUGAACAUUGGACUAGGACUCUGGGGAUUAGGGGUUCAGUUCCCUGCCUGGCC